rnacentral:lncRNA from 1 species
AAUGUGAGCCAUUGGAUUUGAGCUCAUUAAUUGAGCUGGCAGAUCCAAGCAUCCACAUGCGCGCGCUCACCAAACACCACAGUCAAUGAGUCACAGGUUGCAUUAAAAAAAGUCAUAAAAAGGGAAGGACCAGAUUAGAUCUGGAGAUGAGAUCUAAUGGUUGUGGUUCAAUCUAGAGACCAGACGGUGGCCAGCGCCACCGUCUUCUCCGGCCAAACCAGAAA